rnacentral:lncRNA from 1 species
UACAAGAAAUGAAGAGCAGGACAGUUUCAGAAAAACCUGGGAAGACUUCUAUGAAGAGAGGCAAAGUGAAAUGAGAAGAACCAGGACAUUGUACACAGUAGGUGCAAUAUUAUGCAAUGAUCAACUGUGAAUGUGUGAUAAUUAAAAUGAAUUUUAAGGUUUACAAAUGACAACUAUUCUCAGCAAUACAAUGAUCCAAGACAAUUCUUUUUUUUUUUUUUUUUUUUUUUUUUUUUUUUUUUUUCAUAG